rnacentral:rRNA from 1 species
UACGAAGGGGGCUAGCGUUGCUCGGAAUCACUGGGCGUAAAGCGCACGUAGGCGGAUUGUUAAGUCAGGGGUGAAAUCCUGGAGCUCAACUCCAGAACUGCCUUUGAUACUGGCGAUCUUGAGUCCGGGAGAGGUGAGUGGAACUGCGAGUGUAGAGGUGAAAUUCGUAGAUAUUCGCAAGAACACCAGUGGCGAAGGCGGCUCACCUGGCCCGGUACUGACGCUGAGGUGCGAAAGCG